GGGAACAACAACAAGAAUCAGACUGCGGAAGUUCUCUGUGAACACAGCACCGACGAUCUUUCUCAUGCGGAGGUAACAACGCCCUUUUGUUUCAGCUUCCCUAAUAAAAGUGACAGAGACAGAAUGGAGAAGAGUGCAGUAAAGCGCAAACUUUCCACAGGUCAGCUUUUAGCUGUGUCUGAUUCACCAUCAUGCAGCGGAAAAAUAGGUGUAGAAUACCUGGUAUCAGUGUCAGACUGGAUGUCCACACACAGACACAAGAGGUUCGUCUUACAGAAUCCAGUUGGUGCCGCACUGAGAGUAGGUCACCUGGAGGACACAAUUUACAGUGAGAAGGAUGAUGAGGUGAACGGAUGGGGAAAGUUCUACCUUCCAGACAUAGUGAACAUGCAGGUUGUAGGUGUAGUGAUGUUCUCAUCAAAUCCAUGUGACCAGCUUGUCCUGAUGACAUGUGAGGACGAAAACAUUUACGCUUACGAUGGAGAGGAGCUGCAUCUGGUGGCUUCAAGCCUUGAUCAGCUAUGUUCUGAUGGAAUAGAUUUUCCCUCAUCUAAGACCUUUUACAAGGGAGAGGCUUUCAAAGAUAUGACUGAGAAGGACUGGGCUGAGGUGAGGAAAGGUCCUGUGGGCAGGAGGUUGGACCAAGAGCAUCAGAAAUGGGUGAAAGCAAAGAAGUCCAGACUCCUGCAGAACCUCCUACUUGGCAAAGAGAAACAGAGGUGGGUGUUUUUUAUGCUUGGUGAGAAGUUCAAUCUUUGAGUUAAACUUUGUCAAGACAACUUUCCAUAGGUGUGAAUGUGAUCGUGGUAGUUUGUCACAUCUUGUGUGACUUUAUAGUCUGCGUGGCAUCUGCUCCCAAACUGCAUUGGGCAGUGUACUGCAAACACGUCUACCUAGUCUACUCUAAUACUAAACUGAAGUAGAAGAAGUUUGCCAUUGUUUACCCCACUUACAACAUGGCAUUUUACAGAAUAGUUGCAUUUCAGCAGUUAGUUUUUAUUUCACACAUGAAUUGUUCAUAACCUGGUUGUCACGGUGAUCUCUGUGUGAUGAACGGUAUAAGUGCACGUAUUUCUGGACUUCAGCUACGAGUAGGUCCUGGUGCUCUGCCAUGUUUUUCCACGCGCCUCUGUAAGCGUAGUUGGAAAAAUGUGGAGGUGCACGACGCGGAAAUUGUCUGCAUGAGAAGGGCCGCUCGAGGAGGCACGGACCGUGUGGACACGGUAAGCAUAAAACAGGCUUAAGUCAACUGGGAUUGACUUUAGCCCCCUCUGUGACCCAAAUGAGGAUUAGGCGGUGCAUUGAUGAUGGAUGGAUGAAUGGAAGAUUCAGUUUGGUGUUUCAUACUAGAUUGCUAAAUAUCCAGUAUGACAUCAAGUCUCUCUUGUCUCCAGGCUUCAUCAGCUGCGUGGAGGUGGGCCCCUUGAUGACAACAUGCUAAGUACACUGCAAAGUACACACCAGUCUGCUCAUACAGAAUAUAUGCUAACUCCACAAAGAAAGUUACCAGACUCCAGUUCAAACCCAGGAGCCGUGAUACAACAGCACCAAUUACUGCAGAACUGUGCAGCCUGCCGGACAGGGCCAUGCAGAGACCUUUCCAGGGGCAGGUGCUCAGAGUUAAAGGGGGCACAUGGAACGUACCUCACAAUAUAACAACAAGGGUGAAAGUAAGCCAGAAUGGUCUGGUACUGCAUUCCGGUCUGGAACUUGACAGGAGCUGGUGAGACCUGAUCAAACAUGUAACAUGCAAGUGUGAAAGACCCCGAAGCCCAGAACAGCUAACACGGCAGUUUAUCUAUAUUUUACACACUCAUGUAAUGGUAAUGAAGUCACAUAGAUACAGUAAAUGUAGUAACUCUGAGAUUUAAAAAAUCAUGGUAGAAAAAGACAUCAGAGCAUUCAAAAACAGGAAUUUUUGUGAUUUACAAAAACACACCGAGUUGCUGAUAGAAUGGCAGGAAUAUAAGAAAUGUUUGUGGUGGAAAACUGAUCUAAUGAUCACUUUGGGAAGGCUCACUAUAAAGAACUUAUAAGGAGAGUUCUGCUUUUAUUUCAGAUAUACUUGUUUUUUUCUUCGUUCUUCUCUCAUUAAUCAUGUGAUGAUUUAUCUGCUGUCCCUGAAUAUCAAAGUGGAUAUAAAGUAGUUCAAACCUGCAGCUGCAACAGGAACAUGCUGCUGACACACUGAUGCUUUAAUAUUAAUCAUUUAGAGAUGGAAUUGAUUAUAUCAGUAAAAAUAUGUACUGCAUAAAUAAAUACAAAAUAUGGACAUAUGGAGUGAAUUAAUAAGUAGGCUUCUUGUAAAAUGUUUUGGAAACCUUUGUUUGAACUCACAACAAAGAAGAAGGGUAGAAAAAAAGCAAAACACUUUUUAAUGGUUCACAUUUAGGUUGUGUUGUAUUUUCAUUCUAUGGUUAUUUAAAGACAUUAAGAUAUUGAUGUUAACAUUUCUUCUAUAAUUUCUCUCAUUUAAAUAAAAACGGAGAGAAACACUACAAAACAGACAAGAAUUUUUUGUCAAAAGUAAUAAUGCGAGGAAAAUAACCUCUUUGAUUAAAAGAAAAGACAGGGACACUGAAGAUGGGUUACCCACAGAAAAUCAGAAGCUAACUACUACUACUAUAACUAUUUUAGGCCUCUGUGGUAAAUCUUUUAGGCGAUGUGUUUUGAUAUUUAGUUCCAUUCUGAGUGUUUGCUUGUGACCUCAUGUCUGUUCUUAGAGCUUUGCAUUCUGGAUGUUUAUCAGUGUUUCAAUUAAAGCAAAAAGUUUACCAUAUUUUCAAGUGUUAUUAAUUCCUACCUAUUCCAUUGGCCUACAGUAAAAUAUUAAUAUGUUUUUAUUUGUUUGUAUUUUAACUUUGUUAUUUUAAAAUGCAUGAAGUUAGAGCGAGACAAGGGUUUUGGUAAUAGUACCGGCAAGAAUUUAAAACUACUUUCACCAACCCAUAUUCAUCAACACUGAAAUGUAGAAGCUGUGGUGCAAUGGUGAAGUGUUAGAACUGCUGCUCUGAAGGUCAGCAGUUCAAACCCUGAUGUGGCCAUGAUUGGGCCCUUCAAAUUAUUAUUUUGAAGGUGAAUUUAGAUCACCAUUAGACACUGGACUGUAUAACUGUGGAUGCUCUGCCUGGAGUCCUUGCUUUUAAAUGUCAUACCUAUC